UGGUAAUGUGUUCCUGAUAGCAAUAAUACACGCGUGUUUACUUAUACAAAAAUUUGAAUACAAUAGAAGGCGCCAAGCAGUGAAUACUGAUGAGUAACACUGCACGUCAUUCAUGGACAACGUGGUGACUGACGCCGUUUGUGAGUCAGCGACGUAUCGUGACGCAACCCUGCACGAUGACGUCACUCGUGAGGGCGACGGCUCGGCAGCGCUCAGUGUUCACUUGGACGUCAGUGUGGGAGGUUGUCAUUUGCCGAGCUCGUUCCAGGAGUUCGUCUACUGGCGGCGCCCUCUGCCUGACAUCAGUGACGACCUCCGUGCCCUCUGUGC
rnacentral:lncRNA from 1 species